AGUGAACGCUGGCGGCAGGCCUAACACAUGCAAGUCGAACGGCAGCACAAGAGAGCUUGCUCUCUGGGUGGCGAGUGGCGGACGGGUGAGGAAUGCAUCGGAAUCUGCCCAUUUGUGGGGGAUAACCUCGGGAAACCGGGACUAAUACCGCAUACGACCUACGGGUGAAAGCAGGGGAUCUUCGGACCUUGCGCAGAUGGAUGAGCCGAUGCCGGAUUAGCUAGUUGGAGGGGUAAAGGCCCACCAAGGCGACGAUCCGUAGCUGGUCUGAGAGGAUGAUCAGCCACACUGGGACUGAGACACGGCCCAGACUCCUACGGGAGGCAGCAGUGGGGAAUAUUGGACGAUGGGCGCAAGCCUGAUCCAGCCAAGCCGCGUGUGUGAAGAAGGCCUUCGGGUUGUAAAGCACUUUUGUUGGGAAAGAAAAGCAGCCGGUUAAUACCCGGUUGUCAUGACGGUACCCAAAGAAUAAGCACCGGCUAACUUCGUG
rnacentral:rRNA from 1 species